rnacentral:ncRNA from 1 species
CCCACCUAUUUACCAAAAACAUCACCUCUAGCAUACUAAGUAUUAGAGGCACUGCCUGCCCAGUGAGUAAACUUCAACAGCCGAGGUAUUCUGACCGUGCAAAGGUAGCAUAAUCACUUGUCUCCUAAAUAGAGAUUUGUAUGAAUGGCAUAACGAGG